GCACAUGCAAGUGGAGGGCGACACAGGUCCGCUGACUCGCGCGCCCUUUGCAGUCGCAUCGACACGCUCACAACUCUUCUUCACCGCUGCCCUGUGUUGCCGUGCAAUCCUCUUCGGCCGCCCUCGAUCCACCUGCGUCUCUGUCCGUGGCCCGGCUGUUUCGCUGCACGCGGCCAAGAGUGUGCUCGUGCCGCUUUGCCACCCCCUGCACACCUUAGGCACUCCUUCCCCCACCACCUCACUGCACGCGAAGUACACCCUCAUGCGAGAGGAGAACAAUGCGCCACCGGCGUGGGCUCCCAGGGACACGCACCGCGCCGACCCUCUUCAGCUGCUUUCCUCCUCUCAGAAGCACUGCGGGCUGAGCAGCGCUGCGGAGAGCGGACAGGGCUGUCACUCGCGCUCACGCGGCAAGUCGGAGGUGGAUUCGACUCGAGCGGCGAGCGGUGAUAAGAGUAGCGCCAGCACACUGCCGAGAAAGGAUGAAUGGUCAAAUGCGGUAUCACAGACCCUACCCUCUCGGAAACGCGGAUAUCCUCGACGAUCCGCGGCACAAUGUCUGCCUUCACAAAUUCAAAAACGUUUCCUGGUUGCGCUAGCCGUCUUACUUGCUCUCAUAGUCAUGGUUCACUGGGCCAUCAGCCCAAAUACGACCGAUAGUGGAACACAACAGAAACCCUUAAUAGAGUUGCCCAAUGAAGCGGCCCGUCUAUCUGAGUUCCCAUCGCCGUUUUCUGUUCUUGUGCAGCACAAGAGCGCUUGGGAGCAGUUGACGACCACACAGCGUGGCCUUGCUGCCGCUGGCGCUGGCUCUCUGGUGCGGCUGGACCGUGAUCAGCUGCCUUCGUGGACGCUGCGCGUGAUCGACGAGGACUGCACGAUGUGCUUCGACAAUGUCACGUACGCUUCUGCGGUUGCUGCGAAUGCGGGGAGAUCGACUGACAGGACGGGAAACCAGAGGCUAAAAGGGCUUUCCGUGUUCGCGACAACAUCUGCGCCGCUGGGCCUCAUGGGGCCCAUGUUGUUUGCCAUGGCGAGCGUGACGGACGACGUGGACGUAGCAGCUGAACUGCCGCGGUGGCAAUGGGUGACCCGGUCGUACGCGCAGCAGCGCCGCUUCGUCCACGCGUCGCAGUCGAGGGGCACAGGUGAGCGACCGCGGCACUUGAUCGUGGUGGGCGUACCUUCCACGGACCAGCCGAUGCGCUACCCGCUGCGGGACGCGCAGCGGGCGACGUGGUUGACGUACCGAGAGGUUGCGCGCACCGAGAACAACUUUACUGGCGCGCUGCUGCAGCUCUACGUGUUCGCUGCUGCACACCGAGAUUCUGACUACACAGCGCAGUACCUCGCGGACAUGGCGCAGCUGGCCCCAACAGUGAGCGAGUACGCCGCAGCGACUGCGCAGCACCUGGCUGCGGAGGGUGGAGACGUCAACAAUGCACCCCCCUACGUGCAGCGUCGCGUGGUGCUGCGUGAUGGGUGGCGCGACAUCCCAAGAAGCGAUGACGCGGUGUGGAAGUCACCCUGCGCUGGUGUAAGGACCUCCGUGGUGACUACGGCAAGUCUUGUGGACGGGACCUCGCCCCUCGCGGCUCUUUCAGCCCAGUUGUCGCUGCCCGUGACACCUGCCUUCACAGCAGCGGCGCAGUACGUGUGCCACGUGUCCGCUGCAUUGUGGCAGGAGGCGCUGCACCACCGCGACUCGCUGUGGCUGGACUUUUUGGCUGACCUCAGGCCAGUAACAACGAAGCAAAUGGGCGACGCUAUCUCUUGGGGUGUUCCAGCAGAAGUAGGCAUGACUCAAAAAGUCGUUUUGUGGCUGAACUACGCGUACACUGCCUUCCCAGACGUGCCGUACAUCAUGAAGGGCGACGACGACACGUACUUGAAGGUGCCACAGUACUUGAGCGACCUGCGCCAUGUGCGCGGUGGGUGGGCGAAACCGCGCAACUUGAAGGCGACCAUUCCGCACAAAGGGGCUGUCCCACCGACGCUGGGCAUCGACGACGCGGAGGAAUGCCUGUAUCGAGUGUGGUGGUACGAAAUCAACGAGGUUGUCUAUGGCCAUGGUCCUGGCUAUGCACUAGACCGUCGCCUCAUCCAAGCUGUACUGAACCCAUUCGAUAUCAAUAACGAUCUUUUGCUGACGCUAUUAACGGUGCCGUACACCUUCAGCUAUCACAGUCAUUAUUUGAGCCUGCUCAUGCAGCACGAGGACCUUUUCAUUGGAAAGCAACUGCAGAGGCUUCCACAUAGGGUGAAAGAAGUCUGCACGAAGCGUCCACUGUGCUACGUAUCGGACAAAGAACCACGCUCGCUUCAGGUUCUCCGACCCGCGCCCUCCCAUCAGACCUGGACAUGGAGCUCGGUAUUGAUGCACUAUGCUAUGCCGGCGAUUCCUUAUUUCAUCCACUACUACUUCAAGCACGAGUUCAAGGUAGCCGAGGCGGCUAAAGGGGCACUUAAGCAGGGCAUCGAUGCCAGCGCCAUCGAUGCGAAUGCCACACAGAAAAUGAAGGAGUGGGUGGCGUCGCAAGUGCCGACGACGCUGGCGGACCUGAAAAGGGUGCAGAAUGUAAGCUGGGUGCGCGGAGACCCACGCACGGCGUACGUUGUAGCUGAGGGGGACGGCGUUGCAGUGUACGAUAUUGCGUACAGGCCUCGCAACACGACACUUGUCGAAUGUGCCAUCGAGUCUGGAAAGUAGUGCAACACGUUUCUUUACUGUCGCCCUCCACCCUUGGCCGUCAAGCAUGACCUCGAGCACCUUGCGAUGGAGGGGAACUGCUGAAUUAAGACGCAAGAAGCGUGAGCCUCGGUGACCGCUGAAAUGAGAGCCGUUCGUCUUUCUGUCUUUUUCUCUGCACGCUCCCCACUAGAAACUCAUCUCUGUCUCAGGACCUUAGACAAACGUUUUUCUCCCGCUUCUCUGACACACGUCUACCCGCUGUGAGAAUCGACGCGCUUUCUUGUGGCCAAGAGUACUAGUUGAGAGAGGUAGCCACAAUGGCCGACCUUCUUCUUUUUCACUGGUGUCUCCAUCUACAUUUGUCUGCUGGCUGAUUUGUGAAGCAAACUCGGUAGUUGUGAAUUCACGAAGGACCCGACCGUGUGCGAGAGCUUUUUUUUCGAUGUGAGCGCGUGUGCUUGUGGGAAGUGCCUCAAUGUGCGUCUUGCACUCUGCCAACGAGAGUACCAACACAUACACGUAGUACGUGCACUACCACCACUCUGGCUGACUCCAACCCCAUUCUUUUUUUCGGCCUGCGCAAGCAGCGUCUCUCUCCUGUUUUCUUUGCUUUAGCGUAUGCCGAAACUGCUGGUGUGUAGCUCCUUCUUUUUGUGUUGGCCUGCAC
rnacentral:misc_RNA from 1 species